ensembl:snRNA U4 U4 spliceosomal RNA
AGCUUUGCGCAGUGGCAGUAUCGUAGCCAAUGAGGUUUAUCUGAGGUGCAAUUAUUGCUAAUUGAAAACUUUUAUUAAUACAAGUUUUCAGUACAUAAUGAUUACAUUCAUCAUGGGGAGUUGGUACAUAUACAUGA